AUUUUCAAUAUAAUAUUUGUUUCUUGCAUUGCCUUGCUGCUUGUAUUUACUAGUUCGUUGUUCUGGUUGAAAAAUGAAAGAUAUGAGAAAUUAAACAAUUCUGUAUUGCAAAUUACAAGAUUACGCAAACACUUCGCACGACGAGAAGAAGUAAGGGAAAGAGAGUUUACAUGUCAAAUCACUGUCUUAUAUACCCAACGUUCUGUCACAUCACUGAUUGUCUAUUGCACUCACAGUCUAUAUAGAUACUUCACACCGAUAACCGAUAAAUUAAGCAUGGAUCACACGAUGUGAAUCGUUAUAGAGUUGCACCGCAAUGAAAAUGUGAGACGUUCCUUAACAAUAUUAAUAAACUAUAAUAGUACACGUUAGUUCUUUACGAAACACAAAUGGAGUACCG
rnacentral:misc_RNA from 1 species